rnacentral:rRNA from 1 species
UACGUAGGGGGCAAGCGUUGUCCGGAUUUAUUGGGCGUAAAGAGCGUGUAGGCGGCCAGGUAGGUCCGCUGUGAAAACUCGAGGCUCAACUUCGAGCUGUCGGUGGAAACUUUCUGGCUAGAGUCCGGAAGAGGAGAAUGGAAUUCCUGGUGUAGCGGUGAAAUGCGCAGAUAUCAGGAAGAACACCCGUGGCGAAGGCGGUUCUCUGGGACGGUACUGACGCUGAGACGCGAAAGCGUGGGGAGCGAACAGG